rnacentral:lncRNA from 1 species
AUUAUGUUUGUACACAAAACCUACUGCUUGUGUGUUGCUAUUGAAUUAAAUUAUUAGGAGAAAUGGCACAGGGAAAACAUCUUCAGUGAAGACAGAAAAUCAUCUAUACCAACCCCAAAAUUUUGUUUAGCCACCUCUGUGUGGUUCACUGAUGUACAUCACAGUAGUCUUUGGAAGGUUUGUGUAGAACGUUUCAACCUUGUCUGAAUUCAGGAACCGUUUGGCCUAUAUUUCCUGUGCUAGAGGAAGGAAUUCAGCAACUGCAUAGUGUUAUAUGUAACAUGGAAACUUGUCCUAAACUGUCACCACCCCAGAGCCAUGAACUGUUCCCUAAUUCUACUGCUACAAGUUAUUCUAAUAUAAGCUUCUUUCUGAAAUGCUUAUAUUAUUGAGUCUGCUGUGAGUGAAGUGGAUUUCAGAUCCAUCUGAUUUGUCAGAACCGUGACUGCUCCGCACUGUUUGUAUUGGAAUGUCUGACUCGUUUGCAGUCAGCAUAUGGAGUUUGUCCUCUAGUUGGUGAUCCAAGUCCUUAAAUGCAAAGGAAAUAAGGAGAGGUGAGAAUUGUUAAAAAAGGAAAAUUAUGGAGAAGCAUUGUGUUCACACAAUGUUCACACACAUCCAGGUAGUGACAUCCCAGCUGAUCCAGAAUUAAAAAGUUUUCCAGGUGGCUCUGACCUUCUGUUUAUGUAUGGCUUUCUUCCUGAUGUUACAGCUGCCCCUCUGGUGAUGAGCACUCCCAAUACUGAGCAGCACCAGGGCUCUCCUUUCAGCCUCUCAAAGCUGGAGAAGCUGCAGCACGGUGUGUGUGGUGUGUGCGGGGGAUUUUCAUGCUCCCUCCUCCUGCCUGCAGCCACAUUCCAACAGUGCCAUGUUAGCACAUGACCUGAUCCGGUGGUGAAGACCGACUGGAGAAAGUGAAGGCUGGUAGGCUCAGCCCUUCCUCUUGACUGCCUGCAGCAGAGUUGCAUCUGUCCCGAGGAAAACAAUGUCUUUUAAAAGAAAAAAUAUAAAUAAAAAAACCUACAGGCAGUUGAAAUUAUCUUCU